CAAGGUUUGAUGUAUCCUCAAACUUGGCCUUUCUCCGCACGCCAUGACUUUCUCGCGCUGCAGACGUUUCCCUUUCUUCUGCCACGACGUUCUUCUCGAGCUCUCACCGACUAGUCUGACCGCAUCUUGCAUAAGGGCUGGGCAACAGCAGCACGCGGGGAAGCGCAAGAGACUGCAAGAAUGCUCGAAGGCUCUACCAGCUUGGGCUUGGUACUUUCUCUUACCCCACACUUGAGGGCGCCACGUACCAUCCUCUAACGCCUCAUCAAGGUACGUCUGCUUCUUCGCGGGUUUAUAUUUGGAAAUUAUAGCCUACACACGUUAAACAUGCUAUUAAAGCUUUUGUAGACUUCAAGAGAGCAGUAAAUUGACUAUAUAGCGCAUUAGCGUAGUUGUUGAUGUAUUUUAAUAUCAAUAAAACCAAUGUUCAUAUAUCCUUAUUUAUGGGCCUUCAUGUAACGUUCGCUCUUCACAGAAAAAAAAAAAAAAAGAAGAGAAAGGAAAGGUAGUUCUUGUUCCUGUCACAAGGAACGUGUCUACUGUUGUUUCUACUGCCAUAUAGCGGAGAGAAAACUUGAAGGUUCUCUUUUCCUUGCACCAACUAUCUCCCCCCUCCCACGCAUCUUAGGAAGUAUGAAGUGUCAUUCUUCUUUCUAGAAGAUAAAGUCUGGGACGGUGUAAUCCCGUACUUCGUUGAUGAGAGAAAAUCGCAAUUCUUUUGUAGCGGGAAGACAAGGCACAAGCCUCUGUACAAGCGGUCAAUUAACGCUUGUAGAACUCUGUGUUUCUAUUCGCUGACCGCCAUUUAUCUCAGACAUUUUUCCUUGCCCAUGAUUCAAGAUAACCUAGCCACACAACUUGCGUCUUAGUGAAAUAACAGGCUCCAAAAUGAACGCGAAGUGAAAUGCGUAUGGCACGUGAUCCCUGUGUCGGACGCCUGUUGUUUUGGCACGUGCACCUGCUGCAUCUCGGUGUGCGCGCGUGACAAGCCAGUGUAGCGUAGUCAACAUAUAACCACGAAUUCAUUCAGAGGUGCUAUGUCACAUGCGCGUGACAGCAAGCCUAGUGACUACAUAAUGUAAGGUAAGCGAGCAGCUAGGACGAAAUUGAGUAGCUGCAGUCGCCAAUAUGACGCCCACACGAGUGGGCGUCAUAUUGUCAUUGGCGUCGCUGCGUCAAAUUGCAGCAAUUAUAUACGGAAAUCUAGUAGGGACACUCAUUCUUGGCUGAAUAACAUUCAAAUAACGGAAAAACGCUGAGACUGGGGCAAAGCGAAAAGAAAAACAAGUGCUUAAAAAAAAAAAGAAAGUGUGAGUACCAGAAUUAUCAUGCCACAGAAGCCUACGCAGAAAUAAGUCCGCAGAAGAAAAUAACAGUACAUUCUUGAUGGGCAAACCAUCGUAAUUUCUACUCCAAAGCGAUUAUUCGGACAUAUGGCUGAUUACCAUGAUCCAUGUGUCAGUGUAGGAUGCAAGUGUCUUUUCUUCGCCCCGAAGUGUGUUUCGCAGUUUUACGACUGUGAAUUGCAGUGGCAGUUUUGAAGUACAUUGGAAGCCAAAUGAUUUCGUUUUACGUCUGGACACGUUACAGAGGAAGAGCAGGAGCACUCGCACCACAAAGAAAAUAAUAUCAUGCGCUGCUUGCAGAUUUCAGCUGGCACAGACCUCGUUGUGGCCACGGGGCUGUUGAGUCCAGGUGAUUCCUCGCUGCAGCCGACAGUGAUUAAAUAACGUACGUUCAAACAGCCCCGCUGAGCGAAUAUUAGAAAAUCGAACUAUACAUCUCUAUAUAGACGUUGGACACUGACAAUCUCCGCUACUGGUUUAGCGUGUUUUUCUCUCUCGCCGUGCGUAAUGGCCAAACUCCUUGAUACACUGGCCUACAUGGACAUGAGCUCGAGCAGCUAUGAAGGCGCUUCUGCAUUACUUAAGAAAGACCAGAUUGUGCAGCAUAUUGUGA